rnacentral:misc_RNA from 1 species
AGCGAUAUGAGCUAUUCAUCAUAGCUAUUGUCAUAAAAUGAUCAGAGUUUUAACGGCAACUUAAGCAAACAAUCAUCCAAAGCAAUCUCUUGACUGUUGUUCAUUUCUCACAUAUUGAUGUGUGUCGACGCCAAAAGUGGUCAGUUUUAAUUGACUUUGACCGUCAUUAUUGCUAUCUGCUUCAAAUCCUGGGAUGAGAUCCACACAACUGAAAGCUAUGUCAUAAAACUCACCACAAAAUUUAUGAACUGGCAUUAAACUUCAUUUUGAUGAGCAAACAGUUCAUUUUGAUGAACUGACAUUAAACUUCAUUUUGAAAAGCAUGACACUUGCCUUUUCAUCCUUCAGCCCUUUGGUUCUAGCAACA